UACGUAGGGGGCUAGCGUUGUCCGGAUUUAUUGGGCGUAAAGAGCGUGUAGGCGGCCAGGUAGGUCUGCUGUGAAAACUCGAGGCUCAACCUCGAGACGUCGGCGGAAACCAUCUGGCUAGAGUCCGGAAGAGGAGAGUGGAAUUCCUGGUGUAGCGGUGAAAUGCGUAGAUAUCGGGAGGAACACCAGUGGCGAAGGCGACUUUCUGGCCUGUUCUUGACGCUGAGGCGCGAAAGCUAGGGGAGCAAACGGG
rnacentral:rRNA from 1 species